AAUCCGUGCAUGGGACAUUUGUGUAAAAACUCCUAAUAUCUCUCCCAAGCCUCAUACAUAGAUUAAUCAUUUGUCUGUCGAAAAGAAGUAAUAUCGUUACGCAAUU